rnacentral:rRNA from 1 species
AUGGUAAAAAUCGAUCUAAAAUCUGUCCUCUGCGCGAUCCCAAUGCACCAGCUGCUGAUCUUCGCACCACCCAAGAAAACAAUCAAGCAGCUAGAGAAGAUUGAACGAGGGGUCUUGUGGGCUGGGUGCGAGGCUGCCAAUGGCGGCAACUGCCAUGUCAACUGGCGCCGGACUUGCCAUCCAAUCGAACUGGGAGACCUCGGCAUCCCCGACCUGGAGCGCACCGGGCUGGCGCUACGCCUACGAUGGCUGUGGUUCAGCCACACCGACCAAAACAGGGCAUGGAGUAACCUGGACCUGCAGUUCUCCACGGAUGAGCAUGCCCUGUUCUUCGCCUGUACCUCCAUGGCCUUGGGUGACGUCCGUAUGGCCCUUUUCUGGGAUGACCAAUGA